GAAAGCAUUUGCCAAGAAUGUUUUCAUUAAUCAAGAACGAAAGUUAGAGGAUCGAAGACGAUCAGAUACCGUCCUAGUUCUAACCAUAAACGAUGCCGACUAGGGAUCAGAGAGUGUUAUUGGAUGACCUCUUUGGCACCUUAUGGGAAACCAAAGUUUUUGGGUUCCGGGGGAAGUAUGGUUGCAAAGCUGAAACUUAAAGGAAUUGACGGAAGGGCACCACCAGGAGUGGAGCCUGCGGCUUAAUUUGACUCAACACGGGGAAACUCACCAGGUCCAGACAUAGGAAGGAUUGACAGAUUGAGAGCUCUUUCUUCCCUCACGGUUAUCCAAGAUGGCGUCUUAUAUUGGCAUCUGUAAGAACCUCAUAAAAUCGCGUAUAAAGGUAAAAAAAAACGCUUAUUCUUUAUGUAUCAUAGACUAUAU
rnacentral:ncRNA from 1 species